GGUUAAGCGACUAAGCGUACACGGUGGAUGCCCUGGCAGUCAGAGGCGAUGAAGGACGUGCUAAUCUGCGAUAAGCGUCGGUAAGGUGAUAUGAACCGUUAUAACCGGCGAUUUCCGAAUGGGGAAACCCAGUGUGUUUCGACACACUAUCAUUAACUGAAUCCAUAGGUUAAUGAGGCGAACCGGGGGAACUGAAACAUCUAAGUACCCCGAGGAAAAGAAAUCAACCGAGAUUCCCCCAGUAGCGGCGAGCGAACGGGGAGCAGCCCAGAGCCUGAAUCAGUGUGUGUGUUAGUGGAAGCGUCUGGAAAGGCGCGCGAUACAGGGUGACAGCCCCGUACACAAAAAUGCACAUGCUGUGAGCUCGAUGAGUAGGGCGGGACACGUGGUAUCCUGUCUGAAUAUGGGGGGACCAUCCUCCAAGGCUAAAUACUCCUGACUGACCGAUAGUGAACCAGUACCGUGAGGGAAAGGCGAAAAGAACCCCGGCGAGGGGAGUGAAAAAGAACCUGAAACCGUGUACGUACAAGCAGUGGGAGCCUCUUUUAUGGGGUGACUGCGUACCUUUUGUAUAAUGGGUCAGCGACUUAUAUUCUGUAGCAAGGUUAACCGAAUAGGGGAGCCGAAGGGAAACCGAGUCUUAACUGGGCGUUAAGUUGCAGGGUAUAGACCCGAAACCCGGUGAUCUAGCCAUGGGCAGGUUGAAGGUUGGGUAACACUAACUGGAGGACCGAACCGACUAAUGUUGAAAAAUUAGCGGAUGACUUGUGGCUGGGGGUGAAAGGCCAAUCAAACCGGGAGAUAGCUGGUUCUCCCCGAAAGCUAUUUAGGUAGCGCCUCGUGAAUUCAUCUCCGGGGGUAGAGCACUGUUUCGGCAAGGGGGUCAUCCCGACUUACCAACCCGAUGCAAACUGCGAAUACCGGAGAAUGUUAUCACGGGAGACACACGGCGGGUGCUAACGUCCGUCGUGAAGAGGGAAACAACCCAGACCGCCAGCUAAGGUCCCAAAGUCAUGGUUAAGUGGGAAACGAUGUGGGAAGGCCCAGACAGCCAGGAUGUUGGCUUAGAAGCAGCCAUCAUUUAAAGAAAGCGUAAUAGCUCACUGGUCGAGUCGGCCUGCGCGGAAGAUGUAACGGGGCUAAACCAUGCACCGAAGCUGCGGCAGCGACGCUUAUGCGUUGUUGGGUAGGGGAGCGUUCUGUAAGCCUGUGAAGGUGUGCUGUGAGGCAUGCUGGAGGUAUCAGAAGUGCGAAUGCUGACAUAAGUAACGAUAAAGCGGGUGAAAAGCCCGCUCGCCGGAAGACCAAGGGUUCCUGUCCAACGUUAAUCGGGGCAGGGUGAGUCGACCCCUAAGGCGAGGCCGAAAGGCGUAGUCGAUGGGAAACAGGUUAAUAUUCCUGUACUUGGUGUUACUGCGAAGGGGGGACGGAGAAGGCUAUGUUGGCCGGGCGACGGUUGUCCCGGUUUAAGCGUGUAGGCUGGUUUUCCAGGCAAAUCCGGAAAAUCAAGGCUGAGGCGUGAUGACGAGGCACUACGGUGCUGAAGCAACAAAUGCCCUGCUUCCAGGAAAAGCCUCUAAGCAUCAGGUAACAUCAAAUCGUACCCCAAACCGACACAGGUGGUCAGGUAGAGAAUACCAAGGCGCUUGAGAGAACUCGGGUGAAGGAACUAGGCAAAAUGGUGCCGUAACUUCGGGAGAAGGCACGCUGAUAUGUAGGUGAGGUCCCUCGCGGAUGGAGCUGAAAUCAGUCGAAGAUACCAGCUGGCUGCAACUGUUUAUUAAAAACACAGCACUGUGCAAACACGAAAGUGGACGUAUACGGUGUGACGCCUGCCCGGUGCCGGAAGGUUAAUUGAUGGGGUUAGCGGUAACGCGAAGCUCUUGAUCGAAGCCCCGGUAAACGGCGGCCGUAACUAUAACGGUCCUAAGGUAGCGAAAUUCCUUGUCGGGUAAGUUCCGACCUGCACGAAUGGCGUAAUGAUGGCCAGGCUGUCUCCACCCGAGACUCAGUGAAAUUGAACUCGCUGUGAAGAUGCAGUGUACCCGCGGCAAGACGGAAAGACCCCGUGAACCUUUACUAUAGCUUGACACUGAACAUUGAGCCUUGAUGUGUAGGAUAGGUGGGAGGCUUUGAAGUGUGGACGCCAGUCUGCAUGGAGCCGGCCUUGAAAUACCACCCUUUAAUGUUUGAUGUUCUAACGUUGGCCCCUGAUCGGGGUUGCGGACAGUGUCUGGUGGGUAGUUUGACUGGGGCGGUCUCCUCCUAAAGAGUAACGGAGGAGCACGAAGGUUGGCUAAUCCUGGUCGGACAUCAGGAGGUUAGUGCAAUGGCAUAAGCCAGCUUGACUGCGAGCGUGACGGCGCGAGCAGGUGCGAAAGCAGGUCAUAGUGAUCCGGUGGUUCUGAAUGGAAGGGCCAUCGCUCAACGGAUAAAAGGUACUCCGGGGAUAACAGGCUGAUACCGCCCAAGAGUUCAUAUCGACGGCGGUGUUUGGCACCUCGAUGUCGGCUCAUCACAUCCUGGGGCUGAAGUAGGUCCCAAGGGUAUGGCUGUUCGCCAUUUAAAGUGGUACGCGAGCUGGGUUUAGAACGUCGUGAGACAGUUCGGUCCCUAUCUGCCGUGGGCGCUGGAGAACUGAGGGGGGCUGCUCCUAGUACGAGAGGACCGGAGUGGACGCAUCACUGGUGUUCGGGUUGUCAUGCCAAUGG
rnacentral:rRNA from 1 species